UACAGAGGUCUCAAGCGUUGUUCGGAUUCAUUGGGCGUAAAGGGUGCGUAGGCGGCGCGGUAAGUCGGGUGUGAAAUCUUGGAGCUUAACUCCGAAACUGCAUUCGAUACUGCCGUGCUUGAGGACUGGAGAGGAGACUGGAAUUCAUGGUGUAGCAGUGAAAUGCGUAGAUAUCGUAAGGAAGACCAGUGGCGAAGGCGGGUCUCUGGACAGUUCCUGACGCUGAGGCACGAAGGCCAGGGGGAGCAAAACGGGG
rnacentral:rRNA from 1 species